UGGUUGCUUUUUCUCUAGUCCUGUAA
rnacentral:piRNA from 1 species